GGGUCCAAAUGCCACCAGGGCAGCCGGUGGAAUUUAAAUUCAAUUAAUAAAUCAGGAAUUGAAAACCAGUCUCAGUGACAGAGACCCUGAAACUAUCAUCGAUUGUUGCAAAAACACAUCUGGGUCACUAAUGUCCCUUUAGGAUCAACAGCAGCUGAACCCCAUCAGAAAUGAAAUUCCGAGUCUAUGGAAUCUCCAUGGUCCUUCUCACCCUCUUGGUUGUCACAGAAACUGUCUCCAACCAUCAAGAAUCAGAGAGUGAGGGGCCUCCUCCUGAGGAUGAUGCUACACUGAUCUUCUUGGAGAAGAUGGCAGAGAAUGGGAAGAGAUGAGCAGAUCAGGCGAUCGGUACAGUACUGGAGUUACUGAACGACAGCAACAAGCAGAAGAUCAAACACCUCGCCAAGGACCUAUGGGAUAAAGCAGCAAAAACCCUCAAAGAGGUGCUUGAGGGAUCAACCAGUGC